rnacentral:rRNA from 1 species
AAACGGCCGCGGUACCCUAACCGUGCAAAGGUAGCAUAAUCAUUUGCCUUUUAAUUGGAGGCUGGUAUGAAUGGUUUGACGAGAGCCACGCUGUCUCUCCCAAAAUAUCUAAAAAUUAACUUUUAGGUGAAGAGGCCUGAAUAUAUUUAAGGGACAAGAAGACCCUGUUGAGCUUUAGUGUAGUUACAAAUAAUUAAGCGAGUUUUAUUUGACAAAAUAAAAUGAUGUUGUACUUUGUAUAACGUAAGUUUGUAAUGAAUCUUUAGUUGGGGCGACUGAGGAACAAUGAAAGCUUCUUUUUAUAAAACGUCUUUGUUGUAUUAAUGAAGUAUAAGUUGAUUUUUACUAAUUAUUUUGAUCCAAAUUUGUUUUGAUUAAAGGAAAAAGUUACCACAGGGAUAACAGCGUAAUCUUUCUGGAGAGACCUUAUCGAAAGAAGGGUUUGCGACCUCG